rnacentral:rRNA from 1 species
GACGAACGCUGGCGGCGUGCUUAACACAUGCAAGUGGUGCGACGAACCAGGCUUCGGCCUGGGGCAGAGCCGCGAACGGGUGAGUAACACGUGGGCAACCUGCCCUGUUGAUCGGGACAACCCGGGGAAACCCGGGAUAAUACCGAAUGUGGUGCCGGCUCAUGAGAGCCGUCACGAAAGGAAGCUGUGGCCUCCGCGACAGGAUGGGCCCGCGGCCCAUUAGCUUGUUGGUGGGGUAAUGGCCUACCAAGGCAACGAUGGGUAGCUGGUCUGAGAGGACGAUCAGCCACACUGGGACUGAGACACGGCCCAGACUCCUACGGGAGGCUGCAGUGGGGAAUCUUGCGCAAUGAGCGACAGCUUGACGCAGCAACGCCGCGUGGGGGAAGAAGGCUUUCGGGUCGUAAACCCCUUUCAGUUAGGACGAAGCUUUAUUGGUUAAUAACCAAUUGGAGUGACGGUACUUUCAGAAGAAGCCCCGGCUAACUACGUGCCAGCCGCCGCGGUAA